ACGCUCGACACCUACGGGAAGCAGCAGUGGGGAAUAUUGCACAAUGGGGGAAACCCUGAUGCAGCGACGCCGCGUGGAGGAAGAAGGUCUUCGGAUUGUAAACUCCUGUUGUUGGGGAAAAAGAGGAUGGUACCCAACAAGGAAGUGACGGCUAACUACGUGCCAGCAGCCGCGGUAAUCUGAGGCGGGCUGGACAAGGC
rnacentral:rRNA from 1 species